rnacentral:lncRNA from 1 species
GUUGAUUCUCUGUGGUUAACGUCCAAUCUAAUGGAAGGGUAAGUUCUGACCAUUUAAUUGUAUGGGGAACUCUAAUGUUGGCAUCGGCUUUGUUACUUUGAAUUAACAAGGUUUGAUAUUUUGGACUUUUAUUUAAAGCUUGGAAAUUCAUAUUAGUACCUGUGACUUUGUAGUAAAUUCGGUAGACUGGGGCUAAUGGCUGGGUACCUGGUAAGACUUCAU